UUAAUUGAAUUUUUGAAAUUUUUUGUUUUAUUCGAUGUAUACAUAUAUCGUCAUUAAUACAAUUAUAUGUACACAAUAAAUUUAAACAUAAUAAUAAUAAAUUAUUAAUAUAUUUUACAAAAAUAUAAAAUAUCUUAAUAAUGAGAUAUUUUUUAAAGUAAAUUGUUAAAUAUGAAUCAAAAUUAAGAUAAAAUAAGAUGAUCCUUAUAUUUGGAGGUUAUAAUAAGAGUUUGUUAAUAUUAAGUCAUUCAACUAUAUUAAUUAAUUAGUUGUUAAUUAAUUUUUUAUUAAUGCCAGUUCAUUCAAUUAAUUUAAAAAUAAAUGACCCAGAUAUCAUCAAAUAAAUGUAUGUACAUAUAUGUAUAUUAUAUACUUCUAACUACUCCUCCUUAUAUGAUUAUCAAAUAAUGAACACGGUUAUUAUAGGCGAUAUUAGCAUAACAAUGAAGUAAUAAAGUAAAUCAACCUGUGAUAAUUGCUAUAUAGAGCAGGUAAUAUUAUGGAAGAUUCAUAAAUAUGCACAACAGUGGUUCCCAUGAUUAUUCUUAAUUAUCGAUGAUAAUGAUUAUAGCAGUGAAACGCUAAAGUUCAUUGUACAAUGUUACAGUAAAAAGAAAGAAUGAGCAAAAGCAAAAAAAAAAAAUUAUCUUCAGCUUGAGAAACUCUACAAUAAAUAAUACCAUCGAUCAAGCGGUACGGAACGAUCACGCGAAAGUAAGAAAUAUCUUCCACCGUACAAUUUUCCCCAUCGACGAAUGAUGCAGGUUCGUUGAUCUGAAUUCGAAUGAAGACGUGAUUCAUGUAUUUCAAUCAUUCGAUGCAACAUUCUCUAUAUAGAUAAAACCUGUUCGUUUGAAAAUAUAUGCGUUUCUAGAGACUUUAAGGAAUGUAAGUCUCAUGUUAAAAACACGAAGGAUCGAAUACAUUCAAUGUAUUUUUAUUCAAACGAUAUUCUGUCAUUUGAUAAAGAUAGGCAACAUUAAAAUAAUCAAUCAAUUCUUCGAAUGUGACCGAGAACAUGAUUUACAUAGAUACAUUCAAAGCCACAUUCUUGAGCUUGAAAUUCCACAAAGCAAUCAUACCUAGAUUCUCCCGUUCUCCGAAUCCUCCGCCUCCGGCUUCACACAGGUGCACCUGCAACAACACAAAUAAACCUUUAGAUUAUAGUAUUCUACCUGUGCGAGCGGCUUGAUUCCGCACCAAAUACCGAGAAUCGAACGCGAAUACUUCUAAAUGUAUAGAUACAAAAGAAUGAUAUAAAAAAUUGAAAAGAAUAAGUAGUCGCAUUCAAAUAAGAUGGACGCGGUAAGAUCGUACAAAAGCAUGUUGCUUUCCGCAACAUUGAAUUUUGCCGCAAUAUCCCCAACGAAGAAGACGAUAAUUUUUCGCGCGAAUUGCGCUACGAUCUUCCGCGAGUACAAAAAAUAUUCUGCAAAACUAUCAUUAGCGGCAAGAAUUAUUAGAAAUAAUAGCAGAAACGGCAUACACAAGUUCUCUCGAUAGGUAUAUAAAGUUUCACGUAUAUGUAGAAAAAUGAAUUGCCGUGAUAUCGGCAUCGGUGAACGAAGAAGAACUGUGUAUGUGCAUGUGUUCGCGCUUGCUCUCCCACUGUAUCCACAAUCUGAAAGGAGCGCGAACUCUCAAUAAAACCGCUCUACUUCGACAAAUCGCCUUAAUUUCAUCGUCAAUAAGCCCGAGAAACCCGCACCAAGUAUGCCGAUCGCCGUCUCUAUACACCGUGACUCUGUUACGCGACCGCUGUGCAUGCGCUUGUGUGCGCGUAUACAACUUACAUAGACGGAGGGCACACACGCGCAGUAUGGCAUGCCGUUGGUGCAAGCCGCGUGAGCGAGUUUAACGAAUCUGAAGCAGAGAGAGAAGAGAGUGAGGCGGGCGUCUCGGUCGAGUAUUCCAGGUUAAUUUUACCGAGCCCUAAGGAGCGCAUGCGAAGGACCGGCGAAGGAUAACGCUAGCGGGGCUCAUCGGUUGGACGCUGCUCGAAGCGAACGAAGGACGCCCGCAUUCCACGCCGCAACCUGGUAUAAUACGAGGAAUUGGCCGAACAGAACAAGAGAGGGACAGAGAGGCUAAGAACGGGCUUUUUCUCCGUCAGAGAAAGAAGACGAACGGAUCACAAGCGAGACAAAGAGGAAGAGGAAGACGAGGAAAGAUGAAAGAGGGAGACGUACAUAGAAAAAGAGAAGGAAUCACAGUGAAGCAACCAAGGAGAGUUUCAGGCGGCGUUCCUUCCUUCGUAUGAAAGCGCGUAACUGGGAUUCCUCGUUUUGCGAGCAGGCAGCUGCAACUGGGUAGCCGCACUGGAGUAGGUUAUCGCCGUCGUGAGUCGUGGCUUUCACCACUUUGCCGGCCACGUCGCGUUCUCGCGCGCCGACAGUCACGAUGACAAGAGAAACGGAAGGUUACACGGGCCCUCCACCGUUUCUUUCCCCCUGAUUGCCCGUGAUUUCGGAUUAGAUAAGCGGUGUGGAAUUUCGAUGCCUGCUGGGGCUUUAACACAACUCGCUUGCCUCGACCCGUAGAAUUGUUAUACCAAUAUUUUAAACUCUCGUAAAGCUUUCGUAAAAUUUACAUAAAAAUAUUUCACAAAAUAUUUGUUUUCCAUAUAUGAAUAAUUAUUUACUCGAUAAUUAUUUCGUGGGUCUAUCUGACACUUAUGAAUUAAAUCUGCGGAAAAAUAUAGAUUGUUGUAAAAAAAUGAAAAGAACUUAAUGAUGUAAAGAGCAAAGCAGAUAUUUCGUGAUUAAAAAUUUAUAAAUAAAUUGGCCUCGACUUUCUUUUUCCUUU